AGAUAAAAAAAUAGAAGAACUAUACAAUGAAGAGACAAAAACAUAUUUUAAAAAAAAAAAAUAUUGGUUUAAAGAAUAUUAUAAUGCCUAAACAACUAGCUAUUUUUAUUAAUUAUUUAGGUAGAAAUGCUUAUUUACUUAAUCCAAAGCAAUUAGAAAAUAUUUUUACAUUAGCUAUAAGAUAUAUAAGUAUAACGAAUUUUAAUUAUUUCACAUCUAAUGAUAUGAUACAUUUUUUACAAGGUAUAUUAAAUUUUAUUCAAAUAUUAAAUAAUGUCCCAAAAUAUUAUGAAUACGUUCAUAAAAUAUUAACAUCUUUAUGUCAUAUAAUUGAGGAUUCGUUCUUAAAUUGGAAAUAUUCGAAUAUAUGUCAACUGAUAUAUUUAUUAGCGAAAUUUAAAUAUAUUCAUAAAAACAUAUACAAUAAAUUUGAUGAGUUUUUAAGUCGUAUUAAGUUCCCUGAUUAUGUUUAUCAGAAAGCUAGUAAGUUGUUUAUGUCUGGUAGUGUUACUGCUAGUGAUAAUAAUGAAAGGGGGUUUACAUUAGAUGGGGACAGACUAAAAGGAGAAAAAUUAUACAAUACAAUAUUUGAAAAAAAUAUAAGUAAAAAUAUGAACAUUAAUAUUAAUGAAAUAAAAUAUGACAACUUAGGAUCAGCUAUGUGGGCAAUGACAACAGUGAAUAAACAAUUGAUAAAAAAAAAACAUUAUUUACAUUUUUUUUAUUUUUUUUCUAUAUAUUUUGGUUUACAUAUGCGUUGGUAUUUAUCUGAACAGGUUGGUAGUGGUGGCAGUGGUAGUGGUAUUGGUAGUGGUAGUGGUAGCAGUGGUAGUGGUAGCAGUGGUAGUGGUAGUGGUAGUGAUAGUGGUAGCAGAUGUAGUGAUAGUGGUAGCAGUGGUAGUGGUAGCAGUGGUAGCAGUAGAAGUAACAUACGGGGUGGUAAGGAUUUCCAGUUUGUGCAAAACCAUAGAAACUACUUUAGAAUGCCGUUAAACACUAUGACUAUCAGUAUAUAUAUAAAUACAUAUGCCAAAAAAAUAAAAAUAGGUUUUUAUUUUUUAUUCGAAAUUAUUAAUAAUAAUAAUUCUAUUAUAGACCUUUUUUCUAUGAAAGAAUUAUCGUAUAUGUUAUACGCAUUAGCACAUGUUAGUAAGGUAACGUUGAAUGAUACUGUGUUUGUUGCACCGAUGAGAGUAAGAUGGGACGAUGUAACAGAGGGUGAUAUUAAAAAUAGUACCGAAAGUGACGCAGUAAAUGGUGUAGGAAAUAAUAUCGUAAGUUCCCUUGAAAGUGAUAAAGAUAUGGUAGGUAGUAGUGGGAAGGAAGAUGUCACAGAGUCAAAACAAGAAUUGAAACAAGAAUUGAAACUAUUUGACGAAUUUUUAAAUAAAGAAAUUUUAUUAUGGACAGAUGAGCUUAAAAUAUUAUUUUCGAAUACACAAAAUAUAUUAAAUAAAUCGGAAGAAGUAAAUCCAAG
rnacentral:lncRNA from 1 species